rfam:Cryomorphaceae bacterium BACL7 MAG-121220-bin8 contig01135_1_121220-bin8, whole genome shotgun sequence.
UAUAUUUGCCGCUCCAAUAAAUAAAUAUUGGCUACAUAAUAAUCAUUUACAACAAUAUUGGCAUG